rnacentral:rRNA from 1 species
UACAGAGGUGGCAAGCGUUGUUCGGAAUUACUGGGCGUAAAGCGUGCGCAGGCGGCGCGUUAAGACAGGUGUGAAAGCCCCGAGCUUAACUUGGGAAUUGCGCUUGUGACUGGCGUGCUGGAGUGUGGCAGAGGGAGGUGGAAUUCCACGUGUAGCAGUGAAAUGCGUAGAGAUGUGGAGGAACACCGAUGGCGAAGGCAGCCUCCUGGGCCAGCACUGACGCUCAUGCACGAAAGCGUGGGGAG